CAGGGCGUAGCUCAGCUUGGUAGAGCGCGUGGUUUGGGGCCACGAAGUCGGAGGUUCGAAUCCUCUCGCCCUGA
rnacentral:tRNA from 1 species